rnacentral:misc_RNA from 1 species
AGAAGAACCCUCUCAAAAAAAAAAAAACUACGCGUGGCGACCAGCACUGGCUGCGCACUCCCCCAACAUCCGCAGCAGCAACCACACAGCCGCAAUUGAGGCUACGGCGCGCACGACGUCGUCACUGUUUCUCCCCUCUCGCUCGCUCGCUCUUCCGUCGCUUCCACCGACGCUCUCACGGCGUGUGGUCGUGUCGACUGGCGCAGUUGUGUCGGUGAGGAGGAGAGCUUCCGCGUUCCUUCUCACGCUCUCUCUUCGAGUGAUCUCUGCUCUCUCGCCCUUUCAAGCAUCCCUUACCCGCAUACAAGUAAACGUGCCUUGCCGCAGCCCUACCAUGGCGGAGGUGACUUCACCGUACCGUGGCAGGGUAAAGGAGAUGUGGUCGGCACCGACGGCAGAUGUAGAGAGCGAAGCCGCCGCCGCCGCCGCCGCGCCGCCGCCGACGCAGCAGAGAAAGGUGUGCUUUAACGUGUGCCGCCAGGAGCCGUACCACCCAAGCAAAGGGUACCGGCACCUCGCGCGGAAGCUGCGGCAGGGCGGCACGGUAGAAAUAAACAAGGAGGACAUCACGCUGGACCGCUUGAGCGCCAGCGACAUCGUCCUCUUCCCUGCGCCGCAGACGCCCUUCUCGGAGGAGGACCUCACGGUGAUUCGGCAGUACGUGGAAGGUGGCGGCUCUGCCAUGAUCCUCCUAGGUGACGGCCACGGGGGGCAGUACUCGUACCUCAAUAAGACCCUCGACGACUGGACAGGGAUUACCAUCAAUGAGGAUUGCGUCGUGCGCACAGUUCUGCACCGCUACCUGCAUCCCAAGGAGGUGUGCGUAACCAACGGCAUCACAAACCGCGCCAUCAAUAAGGCCGCUGGCAAGAAGGUGUUCGGCGCCGUGGGCGGGUCGCCGAGCAGCGGCUUCGGUGGCGGGACGGGCAGCAUCGGGGCGAAGGGCGUCACCUCCACCAUGGGCAUCGGCUCCACGCUCAUGACGCUCAACCGCACGGUCGGUGCUGGGCAGGCAACAAACGCGGCGCGACUCGCGCAGAGCGCCACCGCGGGAAGUGCUGCGGCCAUAGCUGUCGAUGAGGCCGAACAGGAGGCCACCAGUCUGGUCUUUGUGUAUCCAUAUGGCCUCACCUUCAACGUGCAGCGGCCCGCCAUCCCGCUCCUCAGCAGUGGUUUCAUGGCGUACCCGCUGAACCGCCCGAUCGCGGCGGCGUGGGAGUGUCCAAAGGUGGCUGAGCACCUUGGCCGUCGCAAGCAGGGCAAGCUGCUGAUAAUCGGGUCGGCGCAGCUCUUCGAUGACGCGUGGAUUGAGAAAGAGGAGAACAGCACACUCGCCUCCAUCCUCUUCGACUACCUUGACCACAAGCUGAAGCUGAACCAGAUCGAUGCCGACGAGCCGGAUAUUACGGACUACCAUCACCUUCCUGAUACCGCCUCCCUAUCCGAGCGGUUGCGCGUCGCUGUAGAGCAGCACGAGGAGCUGCCGCGUGAUUUUACGCAGCUGUUCGAGCUAGAUUCGUUCAAGAUCGACACAGACAAAAUACCAGAUGUGGUGGACACCUACUCGAAGCUGUCCGUGAAGGUAGAGCCGCUGACACUGAUCCCGCCGGAGUUCCAGACGCCGCUGCCGCCGGUGAAGCCCGCCGUUUUUGAGGCGAUUCACCGCGACCCGCCCCCGCCUGGACUGGACCUCUUCGAUCUGGACGAGGAGUUCGCGCCGGAGCGGGUCCGACUCAGCCAGCUCACGAACAAGUGCAAGGCGGAUGACGUGGAGUACUACAUCUUGCAGGCGGCGGAGGUGAUGGGAGUAACGAAGAAAUUGCGCAGCCCACGAAACCGCGACCCGCGCGCGCUACUCGACUACGUGUUCCGCCAAGUGGUAGAGUACAAGAAGGUGAACAGCGGCCCUGUCGCGCCGCAGGAGGCCAGACAUGGCGAUGCCGCCUCUAGGGUGGCCGCGGCAGACAACGCCGCUGCCGCCGCCGCCGCUGAGAACAUGAUGCGCGUGAUUCGCGUCAGCAACGACGGCACCGGCGACGCGACCCCGUUCGACGAGAACCCACUCUGGAACCUCUACCUAGAGGCGGACUUUGCAAAGGGCACCAUCGAGGGUAACCUGCAACUGCUGCAGGACUCGAGCCGCUUCGGUGCACAGGAGGCGCGCAUCGAGGGCGACAUCAAGCCGCCAGGCGAGCGUGAGUACCCGAUGGAGUGGGGCGUCGUGCUAGACGCCGCCGAUGGCGAGCAGAUCAUCUACGUGUUCUUAGGAAUGAUCCAAGGCAACCAGCUGCGCGGCGUGUGUGAGCAGGGUGGCGGCGGCAACACCCGCAACUUCCUAUAUACGCUAGAAGAGCUGUAGCGCGGAAGCGGCGGCUGGGCGACUGUAGUUUGCCGGCGUCUCUAUCUAGCGAGCACAGUGUAUAUAUAUACAUAUUUUUUCUGUUGUUCUCUUGCCUCGCCGCUCGUCGUUGCGUGUGCGCCCCCCUCCCUCCUUACCGUUCUCGCACAGUCUUACCCCCUCUUACAUGGGAUUUUACUCGUUCUCGGCCUCCCGGCGUAUGCGUGUAGUGCACGCGUCUUGGUUGUGCGUGCAUUAGGACGUUUAUGCCUUCCCGCCUUUUACCCCGUGCGCAUGUGUGCGUGCGCGUCUUCAGCCACCCCAGUGCUCCCUUCUCUUCCUCGUUUCGCCAUCGCGCUUUUUUGUUGCUGCACCCCUCGUGGACAGUUUCGCAGGUGAAGAUUGUGCAUAGCUGCCUGGUCAUAUUGCGUAUGUGUGUGUAGAAGUGUAUCGUGAUGUCAGUGAUGUUGAUGUAUGUGCGCGUGUGCUAUGCUUCUUUCUCCCCCCUCCCCCAAACGCGUGGCGAGGCUCGCCGUCGCACACGGCGAACGAGGCGCACCUGUGUGCGUGUGCGUGCAGCCAAGCAACGGAGGACGAUAUGGAAGCGAGCGACUCGCUAGGGAGGGUGAGCGAAGGAGAGUUGAGAAGGGUGUGCAUCAUGUUACAGGAGGAGCGCCUUUAUGUUUUCUGAUGUAGAUAAGCGUGCCCGCCCCCCUCCUCACUCCCCCUACCCUUCCCUUCCUUUCGCGGGGAUCCGUGGGUUAAUGCGCCGCACACCGUGGGAUGAAGGCGGCGCGCUCCAAAUACGCACCAGACAAGAGAAGGGUAAGAACAACGGAAAAAAAAACGUUCAGCUCAGCAAGCAGCAUGUGCAGAGUCACUGCGUGUGCUUGCCGAUCGUGUAACCGACGAGGGUGGCCGCUAGGAUGACAGCGGAGGCAGCAG